rnacentral:rRNA from 1 species
UAAUACGUAGGGUCCGAGCGUUGUCCGGAUUUAUUGGGCGUAAAGAGCUCGUAGGCGGCUCAGUAAGUCGGAUGUGAAAACUCAGGGCUCAACCCUGAGACGCCAUCCGAUACUGCUGUGGCUUGAGUCUGGUAGGGGAGAACGGAAUUCCAGGUGUAGCGGUGAAAUGCGCAGAUAUCUGGAGGAACACCGAUGGCGAAGGCAGUUCUCUGGGCCAGUACUGACGCUGAGGAGCGAAAGCGUGGGGAGCAAACAGGAUUAGAUACCCUGGUAGUCCACGCCGUAAACGUUGGGCACUAGGUGUGGGUCCUCAUUGACGGGAUCCGUGCCGUAGCUAACGCAUUAAGUGCCCCGCCUGGGGAGUACGGCCGCAAGGCUA